UGUGGUCUCUCUGAGGCACCGUAGUGCGCGUGUUUCAAAAUGCACACGCUUCGAACUUAGGUCAUUGCAUUCUAUUAUUUCGCCACUAGAUGGCGAAAAAAACGAUACACUGUCCCUUUAACUGCUCUAACCAAAGCUGUGUUAUUGUUUUGUCUUUAAUGUGGGCCAAUUAUAGCCAACAUACAUAUUGCCUGAGACAAAGGCCUGGGUCUGGGUCGCCUGUGCUUUCAUGACUUGAAACACUGAUUUAUAAUUUUCGUUUUUACAAACACCAAACAGUAACAAUAUCGUCUCACACAAAGAGGUGAGCUGGCAAAGUAGUAACCGCGCAUUUCCCUGAUUACAAGUGCGUAUAAAAUCCAAAUGAAGCCGUUAUUUGGGGCUAAAACGACGACAUAUUGUCACGUUAAGCCCGCUCUGCCUGAAGGUCUUUUGUAUUUGGAGGUCACCCGCCCGCCUGUGUCUUCCCAACGUGCUGAGCGAGUCAGUUGAAGCGACUUAAUUGAUACUCAUUAAACAGCGGUGACAGCUUCAGUGUCCGUGAUGGAUGUGGAAUAAUUGUGUUGUGCUCACAACUUGAUUAAGAGAAGCAACAACAGUGGCUGACGAGUGUGUCGGGCCGCCGCACCCGCGGGACGUCCUGAAACAUAACAAAGCCUCGAAAGUCGAACCUUUGAUUCAAUAUCAUCGGAAGGCCCUUAGUGUUCUUGAAAAAAACAAUAUAUACUGGAUAAGUCACACUUUUAUGACAGUUAAUUUUAAAAAUGUACAGUUAAUAAAGUUUUUAAGAUGGUGAUGUAUUUAAUCCUGGCUCAUGUGAACUCAUGAACUCCUGCAAUUUUAUUUCUUCUUCAGAAGUUAAAGACAAUGAGUGGAGCCGGUUUCACUGGCCAGGAAGUAAGUCGGCUGUGUUCACUCUCACAAUGGCGCUGACACCCCUUUCUAACUAUGCAACUAAUAUGAAAAAAUUCCACCCAUUGACUUGUGUUGGGCACCGAAAUAGAUCCCUAGGUGUGAAUGAGUGUGUGUUUUUUAAUUGACUUGUUAAAAUAUGUCUAUAUGUGCCGUGUAAUUGGCUAUAAAAAUAGAUGGAUGAAAUUCCACCUUGAAGAAGUUCUCAGAUUACAGCACAGUGUAUAAAAUGCACAUUUAAAACCUCUUAUCCGCCAUUGUACAGCACUGUGCAAUAUAUCUAUAAUUGCAGUUAUGAUAACUUUCCAAAACUUUCAUUCAUCUGGGUAUUAUAUUUGCGCAUACAAUAAAGUUGUCUGGUGUCAGCCGGAUGACAAAUGUGCUCCGAGUGUGAUUUGAGUUUGAUAUUGGAAGCGUUUGGAAUUGACUGUCUCGCUAAUGAGUCCAUGACGAAUGGUGCCAUUUAGAGGAGAAAAUGAAUGCAGGAGAAACUUAAAAAAUAUUAUUGUACUGUCUUCGGAAUGGAUAAAUUCCACGAAGCUGUGCUAAUUUGAUCAAAUAGUGCAUCAAAUUUUCCCUCGAUGUUUCGCUGUAGGCUAACCUGUGAGCAGAAUAAAACAUUAAGUUUGUCUCUUUGAAAUUCGAAGCCACACCCCUUGAGGACAUUAAAGCUUGGAGGAUUUACAACUUUAUCCUCACAUGAUUUAUAUAACACAGGGAGGUCUUUGUACAGGAAGCGGCUUGCUCGUCUGGCGAAGAGCAAAGGCCGCCGGUGGGAACUGUGCGGACACGUCACGCGCACACUUCCCGUGGGCGGCCACUGAUGUCAUCGCCACUAUUCAGCACGCUGAGAGAUUGAGCAACAGCGGAGGCCUUUUCUAGCUGGCAGCAGCUUUCUACGAAGCAGCGUGGGCAGAUUGUAGUCUGUUUUGACCCAGUUUGCUUUUUACCUAUUUUAUUUUCAAGGUCAUUCAUCUUAUAUUAAGAUGGCACUCCGUAGAGAACAAGGCCAGCCAAGCAUAAUUUAGAUCAGCACAGUAGAUACAUACUAGUGUGUGUAUGUCUCCAAUUUUUCAAAAUCUGACAUUCUGUUGUCAAUUUCUAUUUUUACACAAUAGAAAUAUUACAAUAUACGUACAACAGACUCUCUUUGUUGUAGUUAUAUACAAAGGGACGCAGUACACUAUUAGAAAACAGUAACAUUUUCUAAUUUUAACACAUAUCUUAAUUGUUUUAAGCAAUAAGGGACUAAAACUAUAUAAUGAAUUGUUUUAAGCAAUAAGGGACUAAAAAUAUAUUAUGAAUCCGUUCGACCGACGAUUCAUUUUAUAUAUUUUUUUGUAUUGACGGGUUCAAUUGGUUCUUUGGAAUUGUAUUCUGCCAAAUGUCAUAAUUAGUAUUGGCCUAAAAUAAUCCCCAUCGGAUUGGAAUUGUGUUUGAGAUGUUGGGACUGACCCAUCUGAGAAGUUGCGCUUCUCUCCAGCCAUUUCCUUGAGGGACCUCAUGAGCCCAUCUCCCCCUCUUGCCUGAGGACAUCCAUAUUCAUUUCCUUCUCCGAUUUGGCUGAAAUGAUGAAAAGCCGCCUCGGCUCUUGCCCCCACCCCUCUUAUUUCCUGCCAAAGGUCGCCUGCAUUUCCAUUGGUGGUAAAAUCUCGAGAGGACCUGCUAAAACACGAGCUGUGUCAGCUGCCGUGAGGAAAAUGGACGGUUACUUUUGAGAUCGUCUGCGCAGCAUGCGGCCGCUCCGUUGAUAAACACCAUUAUUGUCGUCAAGUUGGCCCAUUGUCUUGUGCACGUGAUUCCUUCCGCUGGCUGUCUCCUCACAGACAUCUACCACCACCCCCACCAUAAAAUAAAUAUGGCAUUCAGUGUCAAGUCACGAGGGCGGGGUAAUAUCACAGCGAAAGAUAACUGCACUGUGAUUAAACUGGUGGGUGGCUGUUUACUCUUUCAGCCCGGACGGGAAGUAAAUGAUCAUCAAAAAACGUACGGCCGUAUCUCUGCUCUCUAAUUACCGCUGGCGUUUGAUGACGAACCUCAGGUAGCCGAUUCGCUCGGACCUGUUUUACGCACACACCGCAACAGACAGGGCGUGGAGGCCCGUCCCCGUCGUCACAGCAACAUCAAACACACGAGUACACAAAGGGAAGCCCCUGUCGUAGGAGUGGAUCAUCUCCACCUUUGGUUGGAUAAAGAGCUGGAAUGCAACUAGAGCCGUGUGCAUGGGGAAGGGUUUACAAGCAGCCAGCUGCGAUUGACAACCCAAUAUGUUCAUUUACAUGACGUUACCAUUAUUUGGGUAAUUUGUUUGGAGUGAGCUUUUUUUUCUUUCUGCGCUAUACCAAAAGGGUGGAAACACCAAAGUGCUCUGUGCUGUCGUGAGCUAAACUGAACACAGCCGACGGUUGGCUUUAGAGGUGUCUGGUGCAGAUUUACGUCCCUCGGAACCGUAUGUGUCUAUUGUUGGCCUGUGAAUCUGGGCCACAUGUGAUAACAGCAUUAUCCUUUUGUGCAGUAAGCCUGUGGAAGCUGAAGCUUUCAAUGGUUGAGAGCCGAAAAAUGGGCAAACUGGGUGUAGACUAGUUUGUUUACACACAUACUGAUUUUUAGCAUCUCAUCCCGCUUCUAAAAUGUGAGCAACCACGCACGUUCUUAUUUUUUGUUUAUUUUAGUCGCUUCCUCAUUGGCCAUUGUUGUAUUUCAUGUCACGAUUAGAGUUCGUGGCUCGGCCCAACUCCGUGUUGACCACAGAAGGCUUUGGGAUCGUAAAUAUUGCACCGGUUUAACAUUCAAGAUAUUUGUCGGUUUAUCGAGCAGAUAAAAAAAAUCGCUCUAAACUCAUGACUAAUAGGUCAGGAAAAUCCUGAGACGUCUACUCACACUUUUACUGGAAAACAGGAAACAUGCUUUUUGUGUAAUUCUCGGUACGUGUGUAGCAGGGUUAAAAUUAUUCUGUUUUUUUUUUUAUUUAUUUUCGUAUUAGUUUUUGUAUUAGUUUUAGGUUUUUUUUAUGUAUAUGGAGUAGCAUUUGUCGAGUGCGAGAUAAAACUACAAUAUCCAAAUGACAUCUGUGUGGCUGUACAGUAAUACCCAAAUGAGUGCAACAAAGGAUAUUUGAGCUAAUGUCAAAUGUUUGAUCAGUUUUUUAAAAGCACUCUUGUACAUGUGUCUUUGUGUUUUCUUGUGGAAAAUACCAAUUUUUCUGACGGUUAAUAAAACUUUGAGCACUGCUCUGGGACGGCGUCCAGCUAAUUGUAAACAUCUGCAGUUGAUAUCAGUCGUCAGACUGCUGACGGGCCAAGCCAAAACUGAAAAACAAUCCAGGUCCAGUCCUAGCAUGAAAAUCUCACAAUUCUGCUAGUUAGAGGAAAAAUCUUCACAAACUGACAUUUUGAGUGGCCGGAAUGGCCAAAAGUGGGUAAGACCGAAACAUAAACAAAGACUUUUGACCUUGGCUAUGUUAGACAAUCCCAAAGGGUUUUCAAAUUUCUAAGCCACUUACGUGCUGUUAACCUGGAAGUAGUUACGCCCCACCCCAUCAAGGAAGUCUUUCAUUCCUGGGCUGGGUCAAAGUGACACAAUUUAAUAAUGUUUCUACUAUUGCUAAAUUUGAGGCUGAGAGAUGAGAGCUGUGUGACCUCACUGAUGAGAUAAUUUUUAAUUGGAGGAUUCCUGGUGGGAUUCAUCAUGGUCAUCUACUGCUGUGCAUUUUUUUUUUCUUUCUUCAGACUGUAGCAGCAUUGAGCACAGCUCAAACUGGAGCGCUGGAAUUCUUUGUCUGUUCAUUAUUGACCCACUUUGAUUUAAUUUCCAUGAAUGACACAGGCGUGACUUUAGUCUGUCAUAUUUCUGCAGAAGUCAUGUGUAGCACCUCACACAUUCACUGUGAUCAAGAGGCAAAACAUGGCCUUGUCAACUUGCUUUAAAAGUGUACGUUUGAGAAGUCGUUCAAAAAAGUAAACUGUUGACUGUUGAACACUGUAAUCGAAUUCCACCUCAAUUGUGUUACUUU